rnacentral:tRNA from 1 species
UUUUGUGCAAAGACGAUGAUUACACAGCGGAUUCAAAAUCCGCCGCCCAUAAAGCGUGUCGGUUCGAGUCCGACCACUGCACCA